rnacentral:rRNA from 1 species
CUACGGGGUGCAGCAGUGGGGAAUAUUGCACAAUGGGGGAAACCCUGAUGCAGCAACGCCGCGUGGAGGAUGACACAUUUCGGUGCGUAGACUCCUUUUAUAGGUCAAGAUAAUGACGGUAGCCUGUGAAUAAGCGCCGGCUAACUCCGUGCCAGCAGCCGCGGUAAUACGGAGGGCGCAAGCGUUACUCGGAAUCACUGGGCGUAAAGAGCAUGUAGGCGGGUUAAUAAGUCAGAAGUGAAAUCCAAUAGCUCAACUAGUGAACUGCUUUUGAAACUGUUAACCUAGAGUGUGGGAGAGGUAGAUGGAAUUUCUGGUGUAGGGGUAAAAUCCGUAGAGAUCAGAAGGAAUACCGAUUGCGAAGGCGAUCUACUGGAACAUUACUGACGCUGAGAUGCGAAAGCGUGGGGAGCAAACAGGAUUAGAUACCCCUGUAGUC